AUGCUUGAUAAUCCGGUGAAACUCCUUAGAAUGAAGAUGCUCUUCUGUUAAUGAUUGAUGGAGGUGAAGACGACAUCAGAAACUCCACCAAACAAGAAAAUAAUGACUCUACAUGCUGAGAAAAUACACCAAAUGCUUUAUCUGAUUCUAAUCUCACACAAAAAUGAGCUCAUUUAAAAACUGCUAGCAUCAUUUUACCAUAGAGAUGGUCCCCUUUGGUCUGGAUCAUGAGCGUCUGCCUCGGGAGAAGGAGGAAGACAAAAGUACUGGCAUUACUUUGACCGGUACCACUGUUUUGAUGUGAACUACAUUUUCAGAACCCUCUGGAAGGACCAUCUCCUCUUUAUCCAGGGGGGACACGGCACCGCAUUAGAACUCAUCUGAUCACAGAGUUUUCAUCCAGAGUUCAAAAUAAAAAUGUUCUUGAGUUGUGUCUGCAGCUCACCACUCCCACACGGGACAGGUCAAAAACAGAGGAGUUUCACACACCUAUAUGUGUGACAACUAACAGGACUUUAACUUGACUUGAAUCUGAGGUCGUUGAAGAUGUGGCGUUUGAUGAUGGGAAACAUCCACUUUCCUCCCCGAAUUCCUCAUCAGUGACUUUCUACCCUAAAAGGAUCUGAACGAGCUUUGAUGAGUGGUGUUGAAACCAGCCGACGCUUUCCAUCUGUCGCAGACAGGCUGCUGUUCUCCCCACGUGAGGGGGGGAUCAGCACCCUGUAACUGCCUCGUCACGGACGACAAAACGCCACGCGGAGGCAGCAGGACGAGCUGUCGGAGCCAUCGUCUGCUGCCCUCGACACGCUCGGAGGAGGAGGAGAUUCAAAGGGCAGAAAGUGAAGAGAAAGUUUCUACAAAAGUGGAGAAAGAAAUAAAAAAAAA